AGCUUGCUCUCGGGUGACGAGCGGCGGACGGGUGAGUAAUGUCUGGGAAACUGCCUGAUGGAGGGGGAUAACUACUGGAAACGGUAGCUAAUACCGCAUAACGUCGCAAGACCAAAGUGGGGGACCUUCGGGCCUCAUGCCAUCAGAUGUGCCCAGAUGGGAUUAGCUGGUAGGUGGGGUAACGGCUCACCUAGGCGACGAUCCCUAGCUGGUCUGAGAGGAUGACCAGCCACACUGGAACUGAGGCACGGUCCAGACUCCUACGGGAGGCAGCAGUGGGGAAUAUUGCACAAUGGGCGCAAGCCUGAUGCAGCCAUGCCGCGUGUGUGAAGAAGGCCUUCGGGUUGUAAAGCACUUUCAGCGGGGAGGAAGGCGGUGAGGUUAAUAACCUCAUCGAUUGACGUUACCCGCAGAAGAAGCACCGGCUAACUCCGUGCCAGCAGCCGCGGUAAUACGGAGGGUGCAAGCGUUAAUCGGAAUUACUGGGCGUAAAGCGCACGCAUGGCGGUCUGUCAAGUCGGAUGUGAAAUCCCCGGGCUCAACCUGGGAACUGCAUUCGAAACUGGCAGGCUAGAGUCUUGUAGAGGGGGGUAGAAUUCCAGGUGUAGCGGUGAAAUGCGUAGAGAUCUGGAGGAAUACCGGUGGCGAAGGCGGCCCCCUGGACAAAGACUGACGCUCAGGUGCGAAAGCGUGGGGAGCAAACAGGAUUAGAUACCCUGGUAGUCCACGCUGUAAACGAUGUCGAUUUGGAGGUUGUGCCCUUGAGGCGUGGCUUCCGGAGCUAACGCGUUAAAUCGACCGCCUGGGGAGUACGGCCGCAAGGUUAAAACUCAAAUGAAUUGACGGGGGCCCGCACAAGCGGUGGAGCAUGUGGUUUAAUUCGAUGCAACGCGAAGAACCUUACCUGGUCUUGACAUCCACAGAACUUACCAGAGAUGGAUUGGUGCCUUCGGGAACUGUGAGACAGGUGCUGCAUGGCUGUCGUCAGCUCGUGUUGUGAAAUGUUGGGUUAAGUCCCGCAACGAGCGCAACCCUUAUCCUUUGUUGCCAGCGGUUAGGCCGGGAACUCAAAGGAGACUGCCAGUGAUAAACUGGAGGAAGGUGGGGAUGACGUCAAGUCAUCAUGGCCCUUACGACCAGGGCUACACACGUGCUACAAUGGCAUAUACAAAGAGAAGCGACCUCGCGAGAGCAAGCGGACCUCAUAAAGUAUGUCGUAGUCCGGAUUGGAGUCUGCAACUCGACUCCAUGAAGUCGGAAUCGCUAGUAAUCGUAGAUCAGAAUGCUACGGUGAAUACGUUCCCGGGCCUUGUACACACCGCCCGUCACACCAUGGGAGUGG
rnacentral:rRNA from 1 species